rnacentral:lncRNA from 1 species
UGCUGCCCCCAGAGAUCUGCAGUCUGGACCCACCCCCGGGGGCUUCCUCAGGAAGAGGCAGGGCGGAUAAGUGCGUGGAGCGAGUCCUCUCUUUUACCUUUCUGCAGGAGUGCACAUGUAUUUUACAGGCCCACUUAACAGGAGCAAUGCUUGAGGCAGACUCUGGAAAAGUAAACCUAAAAGAUACGCAUGCUGCUUUACUGCUCUGUCCAGUUCCUGCUACGAGAGUAUUCUUCACCAGUCAAUUAGAAAAUCAUUAGGCUCAUAUGAACACUUGGAUUUCCAAGGAAUAAUCCAGGACCCUAACUCAAGAAAGCCAUUUCUUCCUCAAGCCAGCAACUACAUCAUCUCUCCGUUUUGAUCUUCAAGACUGUGGAGAGAAUUUGCCUCAGCUUCCACAUUAUACCAUGGCCUGUGGUAAAUUCAUUUUAUAUGCACAACUACGUUCCAGAAACCUCAGGACAGCAUAGAUAGGCCACCUGGGGAAGUUCUUCACUGCGUGCUGUCAUA